rnacentral:lncRNA from 1 species
UAGAAGUUUUUAUUUUCACAUAUAUUGUAUGGUGCUUUUCUGUUAAAUUUCAAUAGAACAAAUACCAAUAAAACAAUAACAGUACUCUGUUUGAAAGUGAAAAUAUUCCUUUAUAAAUCUGGUACACAUUAAGUGCUUUCCUGGGUAUACCCUGAACCGUUGUUCUAAACUAUUGGGGAUGUAAUGGUAGCAAAUAGAGUUUUACUUGCACAUGGUGUGAAAAGUCAAAUUUCUAAUGACUUGUGACUCUUCAAUUACAAUACAAUACACAUGAUACUUUUAUUUCUAUUCUAAAGUAAUAUUAUACUAGAAAAUUGUAAAAAAAAAAAAACCACCUAAAAACAUCUUUGAAAUGUUAACUGCAUUUUUUUCUUAAUUGUAACAAUGAAUUGGACUGACAGCCUUGGGUUGUUGACACACAAUACCCACUCAAAAGUUGUGUUACAUAUCAUAUUGGGUAAGACACAUGUUAAGAGGAAUAAAUUAGCAUGUGUAAAAAAAAGUUAUAAUGUUAACUAUCUUCGUUUUCAGUAAAAAAUGCAAUGCUCAACCUUUUUUUAUAGAUUCAGUGCCAUAAAUUAUGAUGUUGUGCUAUUUAUAAUUUAAGAAACAUGUUUACAAUGUACAUUUGCAGGGUUUCCCCUGGGUCAAUAAUUUUUUUCGACACCUCUUUCGCCAAAACAAUAUAUUUUUCGCCACUUUAUUAUUUUUUUAGCCAUUUAACAUAAAUAUAUUUUUUGUUUCAAAUUUACCUUUUUUCUACACUUCCCUCCUUAAAUAAGAUAAUUUUGACCCAUUGUGUCUAUGAUUAUUCUCUCAAACUUAUUUUAGAGUCUACAUUGUAAUGAAUAAACACUAAAUAUUUACUAUAAAA